CCCGGAUGCAGGAGGCCGGCGGAGGGACGUCAUUGUUCCCCGACGGGCUGGCACAGGAGGCGGAGCGGCCGGGUUGAGGCGGGCGCUGCGGAGAAGGGGACCCGGCAGCACCGAGCCGAGCGGGGCCGAGCUAGAGAUGAACAAUGACCAUAGUUGACAAAGUAUCUGAGUCUUCAAACCCUGCAGCUUGUCAGAAACAGCCUUGUAGCUCCGUGGUACCCUCUACUGGAGACAUGGACUCAGCCUCUGCAAGUUGGGGUGCUGUAUCGUCGUUGGAAGUUCCAAAGCACAAGAUCACUUUGGGACCUGUACCUGGUGCUGCAGUUUAUUCUAGUUCAUCUGUACCUGAUAAAUCCAAGCCUUCAGUUCAGAAAGAUCAAUCUAUUGGUGAUGGCAUUGCUCCGCCACAGAAGGUUCUUUUUCCAGCAGAGAAGAUUUGUCUGAAAUGGCAGCAAACGCAUAGAGUUGGAGCUGGACUCCAAAAUCUUGGCAAUACAUGUUUCCUCAACUCUGCUCUUCAGUGUUUGACUUAUACACCCCCUCUUGCCAACUACAUGCUUUCUCAUGAACACUCAAAAACAUGCCAUGAACAAGGAUUCUGCAUGAUGUGUACAAUGCAAGCUCACAUUACCCAGGCGCUCUCUAACUCUGGCAAUGUCAUCAAACCUAUGGCUGUCAUCAAUGAUCUUAGACGGAUAGCAAAACAUUUCCGGUUUGGAAAUCAGGAAGAUGCACAUGAAUUUCUACGCUACACUGUUGAUGCUAUGCAGAAAGCAUGUUUGAAUGGAAGCAACAAAUUGGACAGACAUACCCAGGCUACCACACUCGUCUAUCAAAUAUUUGGAGGGUACUUAAGAUCAAGAGUAAAGUGUAUGAACUGCAAAGGAGUCUCAGAUACCUUUGAUCCGUACCUUGAUAUUACAUUGGAGAUAAAGACAGCUCAAAGCGUAAACAAAGCUCUGGAACAGUUUGUGAAGCCUGAACAACUGGAUGGUGAAAAUGCCUAUAAAUGUAGCAAGUGUAAGAAGAUGGUUCCUGCUUCAAAGAGGUUUACAAUACAUCGUUCUUCUAAUGUUCUUACACUGUCUCUGAAACGGUUUGCAAAUUUUAGUGGUGGAAAAAUUACCAAGGAAGUGAAAUAUCCUGAGUAUCUGGAUAUUCGACCAUAUAUGUCUCAACCAAAUGGAGAACCAAUCAUUUAUGUUCUAUAUGCAGUCCUGGUGCAUACUGGUUUCAGUUGUCAUGCAGGACACUACUACUGCUAUAUAAAGGCCAGUAAUGGGCAAUGGUACCAGAUGAAUGAUUCUGUUGUGUCCAACAGUGACAUCAGAUCUGUGCUCAAUCAGCAAGCUUAUGUGCUCUUUUAUAUCAGGUCCCAUGAUAUGAAAAAUGGAGGAGAACACCCUCAUUCUAUUCAUACACCAGGACAGUCUUCUCCCCGUCCAGUUAUCAAUCAGCGGGUGGUUAAUAGCAGGCAGGGGGCAUCAGGAUUUAUUGGACCACAGCUUCCUCCUCACAUGAUUAAGAAUUCCAGUCAUUUAAAUGGAACUGGAUCACUGAAAGAAACUCCAAGCAGUUCUGUGGCAAGUGCUAGCAAUGUUACCCUAAACAGACCAGCUUCAGCUCCACCUUCAACUUCCAUUCAAAACUGGACAAUUAACAGACCCAUUAUUCCUGACCCUUCGAAAAAACAGAAAAUCACUAUCAGUAUUCACAAUAACAAAUUGCCUGCUCGCCAAACUCUGUCUCAACCCAACCUUCAUAAUUCUUUGGAGAAUCUCAGCAAACCUGUUCCUUCGUCCACGAUUACGAAUUCCUCUGCAGUAAAGUCUACCUCAAAUGCACCUACAAUGUCAGUUGCUACUAAAGUAUCUAAACAAACAGCUCCUAGUGACUCUUGUUCUAAGCCAUUAAUGAAUGGCAAGUCUAAACUAAACUCUAGUACGUUGGUCCCUUACGGUGCAGAAUCUUCAGAAGAAUCUGAUGAGGAGUCGAAGGGACUAGUUAAGGAGAAUGGCCACUCAAAAUCCUUUAAUGGAAUUUUGAUUGGAAAUGUAGUUAGUACAUUACAGAACUCUUGUUCUUCCUGUCAAAAUGCUGAAGAGGCUGUAUCCCAGCAUGAACUGCCAAAAAAUGUUACAGUUAAUGGUGCUAUUAGUAUAGAUAGUGAUCCUGAAGAAAAUGGAUUGAAAUUUGAAGAAUCUACUUGCCAAGUCAAGCCUGUUAAAUCUACAGAAAUUCCAUUUCCUAAAGUGAAUGGAUUGCAUGGAAAAAUAAUACCUACAGCUUUGCCACCAGUUCCUGAAGAUAGGAUUUUAGAGUCUUUCCGAUAUAACCAGUUGAAAAGCUUGUCAGAGGAAAUAAGUGCAACUGGACUUGAAAAAACUUCUGAAAGUGAUGGUCAUAUAGAAACUUUAGUCGGUGGCAACAAUACUGUUUCCUAUGAGAAGUCUAGUAAAGUUCCCGCUAACCUUAGCUGCAAUGUCCAGAAUCCCUUUACUGCAUCAGAUCCCGAGACCAUUUCUACCAAAGAAGAAAUUGCCGAAAGUAUUGUAUCAAAAACUGAUCAUGCACAUUCUGAUAUCAGUGGUCAGUGUAACACUAAGAAAAUAUCCCUGGGAAUUGAUGAUGAAUUCUCUAAACAGUGUGAUACUAAGGAUUAUGCAGAUAAGAUGAUAGGAACACAAGAGGUAAAAAUGACUUUGAAAGAGAGCCCUCUGCACAUCAGAGGGUCUGCUGAGACUGCAGAGAAAUUGGGGCAAAGUCCCUUCAUAAAGUCUGACAAUGAAUGUAGUUCUAAAAAACUUGCAGCUCUAAACAUUAUAGAUAAAUGCCAAGAAACAAAGGAGAGUGCUAAUAAUUACACAGAUGUACCACCUACUAAUGAUUCUUCUGCUACAAGGUUGAAUAAAGUUUUAGAGAGUCAUUCUAAAGAAAACAAUGGACUGGAUGGUAAUGAAAUAUGUGAAGAAAAUAAGGAUAGGCAAAAAUUUAAGUCUCAUUCUCCAAUUAAGGAAAAAAAUUGCACCCCCAAAAAAAUUGACAAAGGGCAUUACCGUACUAAAAGAGAGCGCUCUGAAAAUGAAGAGCAGGAGAAGCAAAUCAAAAGCAAACCAGAUGAUGAUUAUUCCAAAAAAAGGCAAUCCUAUAGCAAGGAGAGUACGAAGCAAGAUCGCCAUAAGCAGGAGCACUGCAAUGGAAAUAAGAACAAACUUAUACAUAGUGAAAGAAACAGCCCUGAUAAUGGCAGAAGUUUAGGAAAAUACACCCAUUAUAGAUCCCGAAGUAGAGGGAAAACUGAUCAGGAGAGGAGUAGAUAUUACCAUUCUAAAAGGGAAAGAUCUUGGAGUAGGGAAAGAUAUUACCAAGAUAUGCCAAGGAGAUGGGACAAGUGCAGAUAUUACAACGAUUAUCCUUCUUAUGCAGCAAGAGAUGGUAGAGACAGAAAAUUCUUUCAUGGGGACAGAGACUAUGACAAAUCAAGUCAGGUUUACAACAGUAGGUCAUAUAGGGAUUAUUAUUACACAAGCAGAUGGAAUCAUGAACCAGUAGCUAAAGAGAGAGAGAAACAUCAUUUCGGCAGCUCCAAAAUAGACUUGUAUAAUUGCUCAGCUCCCUCUCAGCACUCUGAAAAAUAUUCCCAUGAAAAAUGUGCAUCCAUGUCUGAAGAAAACAAUAUAAGUUUUGAGACGUCUUGCCACAAAUAUGAAUAUCUAAAAGACAGAAAAAGAAAAUGUGCUAGUCUAGAAAGUAGUGACAGUGAUAUGGAAAAGAAACAGAGAAGGAGUUUGCAGAGUGAGCCAACGGAAGAGCAAAAAGUGAAAAAACACAAGAAGUCAAAGAAAAAAAAGAAGUCCAAAGAUAAACACCGAGAGAAAGAUGACAGACAUCACCAGGAUUCAGACUUCUCUGGGGCCUGCUCUGAUUCUGACAUCCACAAACAUAAGAAAAAGAAGAAGAAAAAGAAGAAACAUACAAAGAAAUCUGAGGGGUUUAUUGAAUAUUUAGAUCCUAAUAUCCAGAAGGCUGUUGGUUCUGAGGCUAAUAAGACAUGGGAGAAAAAAGAAUUUCAUUGUACAGAUGACCCUCCAUCUGAAGAAUAUAGUAAACAUGGGAGUAAAUGGCCUCAUGAGGGAGGGGAUGCUGAUUCCUGUCAUAAAACAAAAUACAUAGGAGGAGACCAGGAAAAUAGCUAUCACAUAUCUAAAGAGUAUAGCAAAGCUAUAGAGCUACCUUGUCAUAAGGACCAUGAACACACAGUCAUUAAAUCUUUGGAUGGCAACUUUGCAUACACAGAUGAAACCAGAUGGAAACACAGUAGUGCUCUGCAAAGUAGCAACUGAAUUACACUGGUUUUAUAACAAUUGAGAUCUUGUCAACCUGUUUUCCUCUCUUGUAGAUUCAAAGUGUGUUGAUGGAAGCCAUCCCUACAGUUUAAACUCUAUUUAUAACAGAACAAUUAACUCUUCAGUCCAUAAGUGGUGCUUCAGAAUACUGUACAGGAUUUUACCAUGGAAGAACUUUUUUUAGUUUUUACCUUGAGACUUUUUUUAAAAAAUUUACCCAUAAUCCAAAAGGAUGGAAACUUUCUACAACUGCUGAACAUUGUAAAUAUCACACUGAAAAUAAUGCCCUGGAAUAGAACAUCUCAAAUGCUGCUUAAUUACAGACUCAGGUUGAUUAUGUGUUGUUCAUGUAAUAUUACUCCACGUUAAACUUCUGGUGCAAGCGACUAGAAAACCACAACUGACAGUCUGUAUAUUUAAUUUAAAUACUUAUUUAAAAUUUCACAAGCUUUCAGAUAACUAGAAUAUCUCUGAUAUCUGACACUAGAAACUAAUUUACUUCACACUUUAGCUGUAUUCAAGCUUUGAAGAAAAACUUACAGAAAAGUUCUGGUUUGGAACUUUGUGAAACAUACCACUCAUCAUACACAGUUCUGAAUGUAUCUCUGACUAUUUGUAUACCCUCCCAUAUGUUUUGUUACUUUUUUUUUAUAUAGUGUCACUUGUCUUGACUGAUUAGUCUGUCUGUUUUGUCCCUUUAAAGUUACAGACAAAUUCAUACUGUGAUUUUAUUUUUAUUAUUAAAUGCUAUCAAACUGUGAUACUUAUUAUUCACUGGUCCUGCAUCAGGAGAUGGAGUGGGGAAGCUGUAUUAAAUACAGUUCAUCUGUAUAAUCUGUCUGGUUUAUACAAGCUGUGUUGUUCAGAGAUGUCUAAAAUUUGAUCUUGUUUUUUUUAAAGAUAAAGCACUUGCCCCACUGUAAAUACAUAGCAUGUAAAAUUUAUAUAGUAUAUAAAUACAGGAAAGUCAAAA